rnacentral:lncRNA from 1 species
CCCAUUGGCCAUCGGUGUUCGUCAGACUUUCAGACAGCCUUCAUCAUCUUUCGACUUCCGUCUUCCACUAAAAAAUAGAGAUCGACAGCAAUGAUUAGGUAGAGAGAUCCCUCAUCAUCUUCCAUCUUUCGAUUUUUCUCCAUCACCGACUCCAAGAUUCCAUCUUCCCCCAUAUUCCAAUUUUUAUUUUUCAUUUUUUCAAAGAUAGGAUGAGGUUCUUGGAUUCUCAUGUGGUGUUUAUGUUUAGAACUUAUUGCUAAGUUUUAAAACUAUUGGUUGAAAAUAUCUAGGUUGAAAAGAUCAACAUUUUUUGUUAGGAUUUCUGGCAGAUUAUUUCGGUUCUUUGUUUCAUCUUCUAGUUUGCAUUCUAGUUCUGUUGUCAAGAAUAUGAUUUUUAUUUUUGCUUUUUCUUUCCGUUAGAGUAUUAAACCUCAUUUAAUGGCUCUGCUAUUGGAAAUAAAUUACUAGAUUGUCUCAACAGAUCAGGAUUAUUGUUGUUUGGGUUUUGGAUAGAAUUUUUGGAUUUUGGCAAGAAUUGUAGGUGCAUUCAUAUCAUUUCUAAUAUGGCUUAAUAACUUGCGGUUUCAUAUUUUUAAUAAGCAUGAUAUAAUCAGUGAAGGCCAUCUGACAAACAGAUACUAGAGGAUGAACUUCUGUGGUAUAAUCAUGAUUAUGAAAAAAAUGGAGGACCCUCACUCUUGCCUAAGGAAAGAUUGCAAUACUUUGUGCUUUAUCGAUUUCAUUUUCAUCUAUUAUGUGCCAUGUGCUGUUGCAUAACUCUUUAUUUGUCAAGACCUUUGCAUAAUUGCAUUGAUGCAUAGGGCAUUGUUAAAAUGAAAAAUGCUUAGUAUUUGUGAAUUUGCAUGAUUGUAGAAGUUAUUUAACUCUAAGAACUAUUUUACCCAUAAAUUUUUAUUUUUUCCUUGAAAUUCUCAUUAUGUUUCAUCUAAUCUUUUAAGUUUUUGACUAAUAUCAGACGACAUAAAUUUUAAAUCCUCUUUUAGCCAUGUGCUGCUAUAGUGCUAUUAAGUAUUGGUUGAUCGGUGCAUAAUGCUUUUGCUAUUGGAUUUUCUAUUCUAAUAGUUUUUGAUUUAUGCUGUAAUCUGAUAUUAAGUAGUUCUUUUGAGUAAUUUAUAAUAUUAUUUGUGUAGAUUGUUUUACUAAUGUCUGAAUCUAAAAUGGGUGAAAAUGAGAUUGUGGAACAUAUAAGGAAUGAAGGUGACAAAAAUAAAGAUAAUUUUAAAAUUGAUUACGACAAAAGUUCUAAGAAAAGAUCUUGGGUAUGGACUCAUUUUAUUGAAGAAAAAAAAAAUCUGAUGGAUCAAUAGCUAUAUAUAAAUAUUGUAAAAAGAUAUUAAGUAGUAGUACGAAAGGAGGAACAAGUCAUCUUAAAUGGCAUCUUAAAAAUAUUUACAAGAAAUAUCAAAAGAAUUCAGUUAAUCAAAUGUUGAUAGUAGCAAGUUCAAAAGAGAUCUGAUGAAGUCUUUUAAAUUCAAUCAAAAAGAAAGUAAAAAAUUACUUACAAAAUUUAUCAUAUGUGUCGAGCUUCCAUUUUGUAUUAUUGAGCAUUCUAUUUGUUUAGAUUUUAUUAGAUCUGUUAAGUCUUUGUUUAAUAUUAUUGGUCGUAAGAUAGUAAGAAAUGACUGUAUAGCUUUAUACCAAGUAGAAAGAAAAAAAUUGCUUGAUGCAUUUAAGAAAUUAAGUUUUUGGGUUAGUUUCACUACUGAUAUUUGGAUAUAAAAUCAAAAAAUUGAUUAUAUUUCUCUCAUGACACAUUAUAUUAAUUCUGACUUUAUUCUGCAUAAGAAGAUAAUUAGUUUUAAGAAACUACCAUACCCUCAUACAAGUUUUACAAUUGAAGAUGCUAUUAGAAAGUACCUUCUUGAAUAGGAAUUAGAUUCUAAAAUAUGUGCUAUCACUUUAGAUAAUUGCUCCACAAAUGAUGCUGUAAUUAGAAAGAUUCAAGAUCAUUUUUCUUACGGAAUGUUAUUUAAUGGGGAGUAUAGUCAUAUUAGAUGCUGUGCACAUAUAUUAAACAUUAUAGUUCAGGAUGGGAUGAAAAUAAUUCAUGAGGCUAUUGAAUGUAUAAGAGAGAUUAUUAGAUAUCUAUCUGCAUCCCCAUCUCGAAUGUAAGGAUUUAAUAAAAUUGUACAACAUAUGAGACUUCCUGUUAAAAAAGGGCUCAAUUUGGAUGUUGCUACAAGAUGAAAUUCUACUUAUGAAAUGUUGACUGAUACAAUUACUUAUAAAGAUAUUUUUAUUAGACAUUCAACUGAGCAUUCAUGUGUAUGCCCUAGCAACGAUGAAUCGAAAUAAGUUGAUGUAAUUCUUAAAUUUUUAGAAGGCUUUUUAGAUGCCACUAAAAUAUUUUUUGAUUACAAGUAUCCCACAUCUAAUUUUUACAUAAAAGAAGUUUGGAGAAUUAGGGCUUUAUUGAUGAAUGGGAGUAUUGAUACCAAUAAUAAUUAUGAUAUACUAAAGCAGUUGGCAAAUGAGAUACAAAAGAAGUUCAACAAACAUUAGUCUCAUUGCUAAAUUAAUUGAAUGCAGAAGUAUAUAGCUGCUUCUUUCUUUUUCUCUUUUUUUCCUCAAAUAAUUGAUGUGUGAUAAGUGUCAGACGAGAUGGGCACUAAUGAUCUCAUUGCUAAAUUAGCUCAGGAAACAGAUUUUUCUUUGGACACUAAUGAGGCUAUUCCAUAUGAAUUGGCUAUUAUUUUGCAGGAAGAUCGUAGUAGGAAAACUAGGAAAAGAAGACUAGAGUAACAAGGAGAUCUACAUACAGAUUUUGUUUAAACUGCCACCUACUUGGGAUUCUCCAUUUUGGAUGAUUUCUGAAGUCUUAAGGUAGAAACUAUUGGGAUAUUUAUGUACACAGAUUCUGCUGGUAUUAGCAUUCUGUUUGAAUAUAGUUUUUUGCUGAUUGGCUUAUGUAUUCAUGUAGGGUAUGUGGGUUAAUGUCCUGGGUAAUGUUCUUAACCAUUGUAAUCGCAUCUUUGAACUCUGUUUCUGAACUUCUAUCUUUGAACAGGGAGCUUUUGGUUCCAGGUUCUACCAAAAAAAAAAAAAGCAAAAGCAUAAAAUUGCUAAGUUCUUUUUCUUUUUGUUACAUGGACAUGUAUCAUUUGGAGUCUUAUUUUGAGGAAAAAUAUCUUCACAGAUGUCAUAAGGGUCAUAACUUUGAGAUCUAAAUAAGAAAUAAAGUAAUGUUUUUCCUCAACUUACUUUUUUUUUUUUUUUAGAUCAAAAUCAAUUCCCAUCAAGCUUUUGUUAUCCCAUUCUACAUCCAUAACAAUGUACAGGGUUGGUCUUCCUUAUCAACAGAUAAUGUAUAGGAUUUUUGCUGGUGUCGAUCUUACUUGCUCUACAAGCCUGGUGGAAUCGAAGCUUAUUCCUUUAUCCAUUACAAUUUCUACAUCCCCUUUUAUUCACUGUUUUACACCUUCCUCAUUAUCCGCACAUCUGCAUAUAUGGUUUUAUUUAUAGCAGGUCAACUCCAAGAUGGUUAUUCAAUGACCCAUAUACAGGCUCAAAUCAUGCAACGGCACAACUGGGAGGAGCUUUGUUCAAUUGAUCAUAAAGCUGGAUUACUGUAAUACAUGUGUUAGCAUGUGGAAACAGGUGCAGAAAGGAGAUAAGAAUAAUCAGCUUAUUUGCCAAAUCAAAGGACUGCUGUUUCAUUUCAAGGAUCUUCUUCACAACAAGGUGUCAAACACAUAUUUUCAGCUUCAAAUAUUACUGAUACGGCUAUGUGCCUGUGUCUUCAAACCGUCUAUCCUAACCUGAGCAAUAUCUGAAUUCAGCUGCUGAUGAAUUCCAAUUUGUAUUUCAUGGCUGAUCAUUGUUACUAUUUGGUUGUCUUAUCCCAGAAUGUUGACAUCUUUCCCCUAGCAGUUUUAUUUGAGAUUUCUUGAUGCUCUACAUCAAUACUAGUUCAGGAGGCAAUGCUGUUAUCCUUUUUAUAGUGUCAUUUUGGCUUAGUUGUGUAAUAUCUAUUGUACAUUUCAAACUCUUGUAUACUUUGCUGUUUAAUAUUUAAGUGAAAAC